rnacentral:lncRNA from 1 species
AGGAACAACCAUUCCUUCUCAUUCCUGCAAUUUUAUUCAUUUACGUUCCUUUUCUAUUUGUUCCUCUUGUUUCCAGAAUGGUCACCAGUUGAACCUUGUAGUGUCUAUCUCAACCCCUACAAUCUAGAUACUAAACUUUAUCUCAACCCCACUCCAAACCCUGAAUAUUAAACCCUAACCCUAAUCAGUAAACCCUAGAUCCAAAUAUAAACCAUAAACCCAAAUAUAAACUCUAAACACAAAUAGAAUGGAACAAAAUAAAUAGCAUAGUACAUACUUGUAAAAUUAUCAAAUGUUUAUGAUUGCAUAAAAGAAGUUAAUGAUGAUUCCAACCAUAUCCCCUCGCCUUAUAA